rnacentral:rRNA from 1 species
GCUGGCGGCGUGCCUAAUACAUGCAAGUGGGACGCAAGGGAACACACUGUGCUUGCACACCGUGUUUUCUUGAGUCGCGAACGGGUGAGUAACGCGUAGGUAACCUGCCUAUUAGCGGGGGAUAACUAUUGGAAACGAUAGCUAAUACCGCAUAAUAUUAAUUAUUGCAUGAUAAUUGAUUGAAAGAUGCAAGCGCAUCACUAGUAGAUGGACCUGCGUUGUAUUAGCUAGUUGGUAAGGUAAGAGCUUACCAAGGCGACGAUACAUAGCCGACCUGAGAGGGUGAUCGGCCACACUGGGACUGAGACACGGCCCAGACCUCUACGGGAGGCAGCAGUAGGGAAUCUUCGGCAAUGGACGAAAGUCUGACCGAGCAACGCCGCGUGAGUGAAGAAGGUUUUCGGAUCGUAAAGCUCUGUUGUAAGUCAAGAACGUGUGUGAGAGUGGAAAUGU